UACGUAGGGUGCGAGCGUUGUCCGGAAUUAUUGGGCGUAAAGAGCUCGUAGGCGGCGUGUCACGUCGGAUGUGAAAGCCCGGGGCUUAACCCCGGGUCUGCAUUCGAUACGGGCAUGCUGGAGUUCGGUAGGGGAGAUCGGAAUUCCUGGUGUAGCGGUGAAAUGCGCAGAUAUCAGGAGGAACACCGGUGGCGAAGGCGGAUCUCUGGGCCGAUACUGACGCUGAGGAGCGAAAGCGUGGGGAGCGAACAGG
rnacentral:rRNA from 1 species